rnacentral:lncRNA from 1 species
ACAAGUUUUGAACGAUAAGGUUAUUUUCCCUUGAUUCCUUCUCACCUUUUGUACAUGAAAAUCCGUACAUGAAUCUUGUCUCCUAUUUUUCUAGUAUUCUAUAAUACUUGUACAACCUAAACCCACGCAAACUUGGUUUUGAUUUACAAAAGUAAAUCCUUUUAGCUUCCAACUCUAAAUCUCGUGAAUCUCUCUAACAUUAUGUCAUGUAACUUAAAUAAGGAAAUUAUUUAUAUAAUGCAAAAUUCUAAUGGAUUUUAAAGUCUUAAAUAUUAGGAUUUUUAAAUAGUUGAAAGAAGGUUAGAUUUAAUAACUAAAAUUUUAGUUGAUUAAGAAUCCUAAAUAUUAAAAAAAUAAUUAAAUAACUAUUUUGUCUAGUGCAAAAUCUAUUUUUAAAGAGUAAAAAGGGCGAACAACAUUUUGAUAAUGACUUCGUACUUUUAAUAUACAAAAAAGGACCAAAAUUAUCCCUAAACUAUUGAAAAUAGAGCAAUUUUGUCCUCCCUUUGAUUUUGGUAUCAAAAAUAUCCUUAUUGUUGACAAACUAGCUCACUUAUACCCUCAAAACUAACGGUACUCCACAUAGGCACAAAGCAUCUAAAACGAAUUAUAUUUUGCUAAGGUGGAUCUCCACCGAGGAUCGACAUUAUCUUCUCAAACCUAAAGAAAACCAUGGCCGACCAUCAAAAAUUGCACUAGGAGGAGAACCAUCCACAACGACAAAGAGCCAAAUCUACCUUUUCACCACCAAGAUAUUCAUUGCAGCUGUCACAAUUCUAAUAACCUAAAAAAUAACUUUGAGUUAGAAAUUCAAGAUGUGAAGUUCAAAAUUGUGAAAUGCUUAUCUAAUCAAUUCUUCAUCUGCAAAACUAAAAACAAAAAUAUCAAACAACAUUAAUUAUAACACAUAAUCCUUUAAUAGAAGUGUUCACCAAAUUCAACAUGUCAUUCAGAUAUAGAUGAAAAACAAAGAAAUAACACCCACUACAAUAAGACAACUCAUGACCGCAGUCCACAGAGCUCUACUGCUGAAAAAAGGUAACCUGUCAUUAUUAAUAGUCCACCAGAACACUGAAGGUGUCGACCUUCUCCAUCACCUCUAAAACACUACCAAUGAGCUACACUCUAAACCCAUUUUCAAAAAUUUAAAUUUCUUCGUGAAAAAGCUUUAGAUUUGGCUGGCAAUAUCGCCCUCAGCACAAACCCCGACUAGAAAACCUUUAGAUCUGGACAAGGCCUUUCUGGCGCGAGUUAUCUUUUUCCGCCUAGGUUGCUGCCCCUUUUUUCUGGUAUUAAUUGGUGAUUCGUGCAAGGAAGAGAAGAUGAAAUAAAAGAGAAUCAGCUGGAAUAACUGGCAAGGGGUAC